ensembl:lncRNA
UUCGGACUCCCCCUCCAACCUCAGCGUCACAGCGUUGGGCUCAGCCUUAACCCUGCGCUGCCCGGAGCUUCAAGGAUGUGUGUGUGUGUGGGGGGGGGGGUACCCAAAUUGGGAACCCUCCUCCCUCUGCACUCCCAAAUUGGACCCCCCCCCCCCCCCCAAACUGGGUACCCCCUCCCUGAGCACCCCAUGGCGCCCCCAAAAGGGGCUCCCCUCCAAUUGGACGCCCUCCCUUCAAAUUGGGAAUGGGGAUGGAGACACAAUGGGGACAGGGAUGGGGACACAGCAUGGAGACAAAUGGGGGCACAAUGGGGACAGUGAUCCCGUUGCAGGAGCUGCUGGGAUGGCCUUUCGGAGCGUGGAGAUCCAACUGACCAACAGCACGAGGGAUGUGACCCUGAGCUCCCCCAGGGCCUACUGCUUCAGUGGCUACAACUCCGUGCCCCCCAGCCCCAUCAUCCCACCGGGAGCCACGGAAUGCUGCACCUUCAACAACUCCCCACACCGUUUCCGGGGCAGCGUGGGUGUCCUGGUGUACGAGGCAGAAACCUUCACCCUGGCCAUCCUCUUCUCCAACCCUUACAACUACAGCUUUUACUACAUGGAGUUUGCCGUGGAGAUCUCCCCAGAAAAAGCCCACCUUGGCUUGCUGGAGGAUGUCUAUAUGAGGAUGUACAGAGGUUUACCAGCAAAUCCCAGAAACAGUGGCAUGCUCCGGAAUGUCAAGCUCCAUGCAACCCAGGAGACCAUGAUGGUCUCUGCUGGUGGCACAAAGGUCAUGGCCACCAUGUCCAGUGCUGCAAAGUCCGUCAUUAAAGUAGUUGUGGAGAACAAGGAUAGUCCCCCCCCAUAUACAGAGGCAAUACCACACUUUCGCUUUACGCACCAUGAGCCAAGGAAAUUUAGAAAAUUCCAGAAGAAGGAAGGAAUGAAUGGUCCCUUCUUCCAGUAGGUGCUAAGCAGAGCGUGCUGCCCUCAAAAAAAAUGCUGAAGUAGAGCAGCAGUGCACAGAUGUUACUUCUAUUUUGUUUUGUUUUGCUUUCCUUCUUCUCUUUCUGUUCUUCCUUGCGGCUGGAAAAGGCAAUGGCAGCUGAGCCAGCAAAUCAUGACAAUAAAAAAGCAUUGCAGAUAACAAUAACAGAAAAGCGUUGUGGUGUCCUGGGGCAGCGGUGUGGAUGGGGGUGGUGGGUCUGAGCUUUGCUGGGUUUUGUGGGGAGGAACGGUGCAAGGUAGCUCUGAAAUGCCAAUCCAAG